rnacentral:rRNA from 1 species
ACGUAGGGUGCAAGCGUUAAUCGGAAUUACUGGGCGUAAAGCGUGCGCAGGCGGUUUUGUAAGCCAGAUGUGAAAUCCCCGGGCUUAACCUGGGAAUGGCAUUUGGGACUGCAAGGCUUGAGUGCGGCAGAGGGGGGUGGAAUUCCACGUGUAGCAGUGAAGUGCGUAGAGAUGUGGAGGAACACCGAUGGCAAAGGCAGCCCCCUGGGUCGACACUGACGCUC